rnacentral:lncRNA from 1 species
UAAACGGCCAUUCCUCUUUGUCUCCCAUCCCUUCCUCCCUUCCUGCCCUCUCUGUCGUCUCCCCCACAGCCUCUCUGUCUCUCUCUGCCUCAGGCUCAGUUUUUCUUUCUCCCUUUCUGAGUCUCACCUUUCUCAUCCUGAUUGUGGGGGUCUCUUUCUCUCUCUCUUGAAAUUUCUGUCUUUCCAACUCUUUCUGUGUCUUGUUCAAAGUCUGUCUGAGUUUUUUUUUGUUCUCUCUCUGUUUUGUUCUGCCUUUCACUCACUCUGUCUCUCACUCUUCCCAACUCUUUCUUUUUCUUCAUCCAUUUCUCUGUCUGUCCGGGCCGCUGUUCUUUUGUCUUUGUCUUCCUGCCGUGUUUCUCUGGGCCCCCUGCUUCUGGUCACUUUGCCCAUUGUUCACUCGGCUUUGGGGCUAGUUUCCAUACCCCUGAGUGCACUGUGUGUUUUGUCUUGCUCUGUUUCUGAUACAGUUUUCCUGGCUGUCUCUCUCCUCAUCUCUGUCUUCUUUGCCGUCUCUGUCUCUUUGUCUCCGCCGCACCACCUCCGGAUCUCUCUUUAGUUGCCUUUCAUUCCCCCCACCCCUUCUAUCUUAACCCUUCUCCCACAGCUUCUCUUCUUCCUCCUUUUUCUCUCUUGUUUCUCUCCUUCCUUUCCUUUUCUUCUGCCUCUGUCUCUCCAUUUGUCUCAGUUUCUGCUGUGUCUCCCUGAGUUUUUCUCUCUUACCUUCUUUUUUCUGUCACAGAAAUGACUUUUCUCUCACCCCUGCCCCACAGCGCACGCACCUUUUUUCCUGGGGCCUCAACACCCCCCCACCCAGCCCACAAGUCCUUUUGUCUUCCCCUCCCCUCUAGAUUAUUAUUAAUGAUAAAAGCUCAAACAUCACAUCAGUAAUUUCUGAGUGAGUUUUGCAAUGAAACUGGGGCCUUCUCAGCCCCUCCCGAGUCCCACAAAUUUUACUUUUGUAAUUUCACGCCUCUGGUUAUCACCACGCUGCUCCGUCCCUCUCUGCCUCUCAGCUCUCCUCCCCUCCCCCCUCCCCCCCGGAGAGAGCACUUAAACUUGUUUUCAUUCCCUUAUUCUUUAUUUUUUUAAUGUCCACUCUCUCCGGAGUCAGUAAUGUUCUUCCUCUCUUUCCUCUCCCAUUUUCUGUUAAUUCUGUGCCAUCUGCCUUAGCAUCUGUUAAAAAUAAAAUUUCCCUCACACAAUGAGAGGCCUCCCUGCUCCUCCCCUCCCCCCUGCAGCCCCCCAGGUUUGGUGCCGGGGCCGUCAGAUGCCACUUCCUCUCCUGGGAUCCUCCCCCCUCCCCCCGUCCCUAGUCUGGUUUUCAGAGAAGAGACACAGCGCCGGGCAAGCAGGCGGCAGGGAGGGAGGGGGCUGCCCAGGGGGCCUGGAGCUGGAGGGGCAGCUGCAGAGGGAGCUAGAACUGGGGGGUGCAGAGGAUGGAACCAGGCUCCACCCACUUGCCUUCGGGACCCUGCCGAGGCUGGAGCUUUGAGCUGCUGAGACACAGCACCUGCACAGGUCAUCCCAAACCCUGCACCCUAGAGGAGCUGAUGGCUCCUGGGACUGUUUUGGAGACUGGACAAAAGAGGGAGGCUGAGGAGAAGGAUAUGUCCCCAUCCUCCUGGCUGCCUCUUGCCAGCCUUGAUCGACACCAAAGACGCAGUAAUCUCUCUCUGGCCCGAGGGGAGCAGCAACGUUUGUGAAACAGAUUUUUACAAAAUGUUUUGACCCUGCUCUCCCCUCCCCCCGCAUCCCUGCCUGGCACCGUGUCACCUAAUUAAAUCAGCCUUCGCGGGCGUCUCCGCUCCCUGCUAAUUGUGCCCUGGGCCGGCUUCCGGAGGAGGCUGCUGUCUCCAUCCAAACACCGCCACCCGCUCCCCAACCCAACUCCCAAGGGCAGUGGAGGCUGAGUGUCUGUGUCUGUGUGUGUGUGUGUGUGUGUGUGUGUGUGUGUGUGUGUAGGGAAGGGGUUGCAGGAGGGAUCCCCAGGGGGUCUCCUGUGGCGAUUUCCGCGGUCCUCCCUCGCGGAAAUCCGGGAAACUGAGGCACCGGCUCCAGAUCUUCUCGGCCCAGCUUCUGCCCAAGGACCGGGGCCCAGAUCUGAAAUGACCUGGGGCCUCGGGAAGGCCAGCCGGAGCGUAUCCGAGUAAUUGUCUCCGCCAGACGCAGAGCCGAAGCAGGCGGCUCGGAAAAUCCCGGAUUUCUUUCCCCUUCACCGGCUGCACCGGACCCGCUGGAAGCCGGGCGGUUUCAUUUACAGAUCCCAGCCCAAGCGCCGGGGGAGGCUGGGCUGGGCUGGGCUGGGAGGGCGCGGGCCGCCGCCACCUCUGUCCAGGGUGCUGAACGCGCACGGGGCCGGACGGCUUUUCUGCGUCUGCCGGCAUCAGAGCAAUGACGAAAAAUACUUACAGGCGAC